GGAUGAAAGACGGUUUCGGCUGCUCACUUACAGAUGGACCACGCGGCGCAUUAGCUAGUUGGUGGGGUAAUGGCUCUAACCAAGGCGACACGAUUGCGUAGCCAUACCUGUAGAGGGUGAAUCGGCCACACUGGGACUGAGACACGGCCCAGACUCCUACGGGAGGCAGCAGUAGGGAAUCUUCCGCAAUGGACGAAAGUCUGACGGAGCAACGCCGCGUGAGUAAUGAAGGUUUUCGGAUCGUAAAGCUCUG
rnacentral:rRNA from 1 species